AGAAAUGUGUGCAUGCAUGCACAGCGACGACAACAAGCCGGGUUGCAGCGAGGGCUCUGUGCCUGCCAGACACUGCCUGCACAGAGCGUGUCUGUCGGACCCAUCGUGCGCACCCGACAGGCGCUGAGGUGGCGUGCACUGUUAGUAUCGAUACUUUUGUAAAUUAGUAUUUUAUCCGAAUACAGCGUUUGAGACUUUUGACAACCCUAUAAUGUACUGAAGGAGACUGUUGUGCCAUCACAUUUUUUUGUGGUUUGAGAGCAAAGAUCCGGUCGCCGCUGUGCAAAACUCUGCAAUACAAUUAGGUCGGAAAAAACCGCGGAGUUGCCCACCCCCACCCCGGUGAACGAAUAUUCGUUAUAAAUUCUGCCGAAGGUCCGAAUGUUAAAAGAUGCUAUUCGGGACAGCCCUACUAGGUAGCUAGCUAAUGUUGCCACGUCUACAUUCAAAAUCGGUAAUGUUAAAUUCUUGAGUCUUGACUAACGUAAAUCUGUUUCCUUUUCAGUGUCGAACAAAGAUAAUAGUACAAGGGAGGUCAGCGUCAGGGCGACCUGCUAUAGGUCCAUGAGAAAGAACGAGAAACUGCACGAUUUGAGAGUAGGGUGUUGCGCAGUUAGCUUGUUCUCAGUCAUGUUCUGGGUGUUGUAAUAUUUGGCAAAACACCAGUAAGUGACGGUAAAAUGAUGAAUAAUGAAGCUUAACUACUUCCAGGUUCAAGUAGUUAGUAGCUUGCAAAUUUACAUUUUGAAAGUAGCUUCCCCAACACUGCAUACGUACUAACACUUUCUUCAAAUGAAUCAGUUGAGACAGUGUCCAGAACCAAGAAAUUAAAAUGACAAAGAAAUAAUCCUGCUGAUUAGAAUGCAUGUCCAAUGAAGAGUUUUGUAGGAUUGUAAUGCCUGUCUCAACUUAUUCUUCUUUCUUAAGCAGGAAUCACUCAAUGUUCAAAUGAAGAUAGAUAAUUCUACUAGCCUACAUUUUAAUGAAAUAUAAACAAUAUCUUCAUGUCAAUAUUUUUUUAUGACAUCUCUUUGUUAUUUCAGGUAAUCUUGAAGGACUCAUGCCCUGAGUUAAUACACACCCAGUGCUCCUGUGUCGCUGGUACAACAUUAUGCAACCACACUGUUGCUCUACUGUAUCAGUGUACACAUUACUCCGAGCUGAAGACUCCGGUGGUCCCGCCUGUCCUGAGCUGUACAGAGAGUGAGCAGCGGAAGAACGAUGGGUGUGAAGCCAGGCCCAGUUGACAAAAUGGUCGUCAUGUCUGCAAAGCCUAAACCGAAACAGAAGACGAUGGCUGAUGGCAUGAGGAGCACAGUUUACAAUCGGGGAGAACUACCGGACCCCUCUCUUCUGCAGAUAUCAGAGGUGUAUGGAGGGUUUACAGACAUGGCCUGUGUACCACUGAUUACCACGAUGGGCAUCUCCAGUGAGAUCCCAUUGGUCAAUUAUGCGCUUGGAAAGGUCCAGUCAGGAAGUCCACUCUCAUAUCAGCAACCGCUGACUACAAGCAGGCAAAUUACACUCCACCUAGAUCCACCCAGAUGCACUACAGGCUGGACCCCUCAAACUGCAUGUUCGUGUGCAGCGAAAAGGAGCAGUUGUUUUUAAAAUCUUUGGAGACCACAUGGGAAAUGGCUAACAAAAUUGAAGCUGCAACCAAAGACCAAAGUCAGGUCUCAGAAUGGCAUCAGCUAAGAAGGCCACGCCUCACCUCCUCGCACUUCAGAGAGGUGUGCCAUGUCAGAGGACCGGAUUCAGCAGAAAAGCUUGCUGACAGGAUCCCCAUUCGGUCUGCUAGAAGUGAAAUGUCCAAGUGCGAAAAGCUAUGUUCACUGCUCCUACCUUAAGAUGGAGAAGGGCAACAUCAAACUAAAACAACAACAUGCCUACUUCUGGCAAGUUCAAGGGCAGCUCCUUGUCACCGGAUUUGAAUGGUGUGACUUUGUGGUGGUUGCGGAGGAGGACAUGUUAGUCCAACGCAUAUAUAAAGCCAGUGAGAUUGCCACAACAAUCAGAGAAAGGGCAGACCUUUUUUUUUUUUUUUUUUUUUUACUUUUACAUGCCAAGGUACCUUAAUCUGUAAAUAGUGGCAGAUGUAGUUGAUGUAAUUUACUGUUUUAGUUCAAUCUGUAAGUAGUGGCAAAUGUAGUUGAUGUAAUUUAGUGUUUUAGUUCAAUAAACAUUUCCAUUGUUCUGUUUA